GAUGAGAAAGGUAGUGAUGAAAUAUUUUUGCCUUCUCAUUAGCUCUCUGUUAAAUGCUUUCAGACACUAUCCUCUUCAAUUUCCACAAAACACCUGAGUUGUUUAAUAGCUUCCCCAUCCUGCUUUUGAGGAAACCAAAAAUCAAAGACAUGAAGUUAGUUGCCUGAGGUCAUGUUUUAGUGAAUAGCAAAAUCAGGAUUUGGGUGUAGGACUCUUGGCCCCAACAUUAUAACUGUCAUUUGAAAAGCUCUCCAGGAGAGGCAGCAAUGAAAAGCUUUUCAUUUCUUAAAGGAAGAAAUGAUGUUUCUAUCCAUAUGUCUUUGGUGGGCAGUGUUAACUGGGCAAGACAUCUGGUGCAGUCAGAUGAUCCAGCAGUGACUCGGGUCACUGAUUCCCCCUUCCUAAGACGAGGCAUUCAGAGCAGGGUCCAUAGCCCAAGUUCAUGUCCUUGGCUCACUGUGUGCAUGGACUGCUUCAGGUACUCUCAGAGCAGGACGCGUCGCUCUGUUGCUGUGUUAAUGCGCCUUUGUCUGCCUCCCACAGAUGACAUUCUGCAGCAGGUGUCUCCUAAGGAGCUGGAUGUCGAAGUUUUUGGGAAAACAAGUACGACAGUGGGGCCAGUUACAAGGGAAGACCUGGAUGAAAGUUAUUUCCAACGAAACAGCUCAAGAAAUUCUGAAUUUGCAUCAAGUUCAAAUAAGGAAGAUGAACAUUUGAAAAAAAUAUUGGAUGACAUUCUGCAGCAGGUGUCUCCUAAGGAGCUGGAUGUCGAAGUUUUUGGGAAAACAAGUACGACAGUGGGGCCAGUUACAAGGGAAGACCUGGAUGAAAAAGCCAGUGUGUCUCGGAAUUCUGAGGAAGAAGAUGACAUUCUUGAAAGAAUGGACAAACUUCCAGAUGAUGACCCGCUGAGUCCAAAACUCAGGGAUGAGCCCAGAACUGUGCUUCUGACGAGCGCUUCCCAUGUUUCCGAUGCCUAUGUCACUGUGGAGAGCAUGGCCUCAGCCAUGGACCGCAUUUCAAAGAAGAGAGACAGAGUAUCUUCCCUAGUCAACAACGAUGUGACUGCAGGAGUACUUCGGCAAGGUACCAGUCCAGAUCUGCCUUGCGGGGAGCUUCUGCACUUCCUGCAGAAGAACAUCAUCACUGUCGCAGGCGCCGUGGCGAUGAUGUUUGGGGUCAUGGUGCUGUUGGUGUUCGCGCUGACUUCUUACAUGAAGAGGAGGCAGUCACUGACUCCUCCAGCGAACAUGACUUACAAUAUUUUUAUAUUGGAUGAGAAGAGUUGGUGGCAAAAACCUCAGGAAAGUCCCAGACAAUUUGCAGAAAAACAAAAACAGUUGAAGUGAAAUUCCUGUGUGUGAGCUGGUGCAAGGGGCCACCCCAACCGGGCUCUGAGGCGGCGAUGCUAGGACGUUUUCCACCCAGACACCACGGAGAGGCUACUGGGUCUCUGGCUGUGAGGUGUGUUCCUCUUCUCUUUCCAAUCUUGAACGGACCAAGAAAGAGUGCCUUACCAUUGAUAUCUAUGGUGACACAGCACCAAUGACCAGUGCAAGAGACUUAGGCAAUUAUCUAAAGACAAACCUGACCAAUGAUGAUGGAUUUAUUCAUUUAAUAAAGCACUGAUUUAUUUAGUCAUGGACGGCAGAUGCUAACUGGACACCUGCUGUGUGUCAUACACCAAUCAAAAUGCAAGAAAGGAGCCGCGAGUGAGCCCGGCAUGGAUUUUUUUGUUUUGUUUUGUUUUUCUCCGGUACCGGGAAUCGAACUCACAACCUUGCGCUUGCCAGGCAGGCGCUUUGCCGCUGAGCUAAAUCCCCAGCCCCCCGGCAUGGAUUUUGCCCCAACAAUUUUGUGGUCUGGUGGUGGGCGGAGAGCACAACAGUACCAAUAUCUGUGAUCAUUUUCAAACAGGGCCACGGGCAGCAUUGCAUGAAGAAAGUGAUACAAAUUGUGGGAGCUCACCAGGGGAGCGUAUUUCCUGCUUGAGUCACCAGGCCUGUUGUAACAGAGAGAGGAAGCGGGGUGGUUGAGAGUGUAAGGAGGGGGUUUAUGUCUAAGGGUUUGAAGAAAGUUUGAAGCACCCUGGGGCAGGCAAGAGUGGGAAGCGAUUACCAUCAACAGCUGAAGCAGUAAGGAAAAUCCAGGGUUGGCUGGAAGUGCAGCUCGGAGGUAGGGUGCUUGCCUAGCAUGCACGAGGUCCUGGGUUCCAGCCCCAGAACAGGGGAGGGGACACAAGGAGAGUAAAGAGAACCUCAGUCAGGCUGGACUCUUCCAAGGGACCGUGGGUAAAUUGCAAAACCGAACAGGAAGGAAUCGGGAGCACAGGCCUCAAACUCACGCUCCUCCCGCCCUUCAUUCCCCUACACGCGGCUUCCAUUGGCCAAGCUCAACAGGAAGCUGGAAGGUAAGUGUCGUGUGAAUUUCCCAGAAAGAUAUAAAAGAGACGUCUGCUUCUGCCCUGAGAGGGAGCCAACAGUUCAAGGAAUGACUCGCACCCAUCCAGCUUGGCAGGGAGUUGAGAUGAUUGCUCACAGAGCAGUGGGUGACUCGUGGGCAGCAGCACUGCAGAAGUCGCCAGCUCCCAUUUGCUGAGCUGCUGGUUUUCUAGGGCUGGGGGGUGAACAGCAAACAGCAGAAGCAAAGAUGAGAGAACCUGGGGAGAGCCGUGUACUCUGCGCCCAUCCAUCCUUCUGCAGAAACUCCGCUGGCCUCCAGCUAUGGUGAUGGGGACCUUGGAUGGCUGAACAGCGCCCUUUCCAAGGUGGAGGGACUGGCUAGGGUUCGCAGACAAUUCUCAUUACAGUGAGGGAGUCACUGGGACAGCUCACCAGGCUCUUGGCGUGCAAAGCAGGCAGAGCACAGAGUGGGUCUGCAAGGAGGGGGAACCAAAAAUAUCCAGCACAGCUCAUCACUCUGGCCAUCGACCUCCACCUUUGUCCUGUUUAUGAAUGCAAACUCCAAAUCCACGUCCCCCACAUAAGGGACACAAAGUCCCCAGAGCUACGUACCCUGGAGGAGCGGCCUCAGUUCAGUCCCCCUCCCACCUGGAACUCGAAGCUGUGGCCGUUACAUUGCUGUUUAUCUAAGGAACUGGGCGAGAAAAGGAAGGGACAGGGUAAUAAAGAG
ensembl:lincRNA